rnacentral:misc_RNA from 1 species
CCCUCCCCUAAAUCACUCCAAAAAAACAAUCCCCAAUUCUACACAAGUGUUUCUACACUAACAAAGCAACAGCUCCUUAACGAAUUCCCAACUUUACACGAGCUCGUCUCUCGAGGUUAAAUGUUAUUACUUGGUAAGAUUCCGGACCUCGCCAAGUGUUUUGAAAACCCGCAACGCUCGCAAAGGUGCAUAGUGAGAAUAAUAAGUGAAGAGACAGACUUGUCCAAAACGCCCACCGCGAAGGUGCAUAGUGAGAAGAGUAAGUCAAGAGAUAGACUUGUUCAAAAAGAAACAGAAGAGAAUGCUUGGGGUUACACUCACGAAGGUGCAUAGUGAGAAGAGUAAGUCAAGAGACAGACUUGUUCAAAAAGAAACAAAAGAGAAUGCUUGGGGAGAUAGAAGUGUGAGAUAGUUCUCAAGCUAAGAAAGUUGUAAAAGCUAAGAACUAGCAAGUAAUCGUCCAGGAUUCCUCCACCAGGACUUGAAAUCGUCGAGGGAAAAAAAUCGGUUCCGAGGAAUCGUCGAUCCGGACUUGGAAUCGUCGAGAAAAGUUUACCGGGUCCGAGGAUUUGUCGACCAGGAGUGGAAAUCGUCGAGAAAAAUCUAUCGGGUCCGAGGAAUCGUCGACCAGGACGAGGAAUCGUCGACAGGGUCCGAGGAUUUGUCGACCAGGGGUUGAAAUCGUCGACCAGGUCCGAGACUUCAUCGACCGGGUCCGAGGAUUUGUCGACCAGGAGUGGAAAUCGUCGAGAAAAAUCUAUCGGGUCCGAGGAAUCGUCGAC